CGCGGCCUAUCAGCUUGUUGGUGGGGUGAUGGCCUACCAAGGCGACGACGGGUAGCCGGCCUGAGAGGGUGACCGGCCACACUGGGACUGAGAUACGGCCCAGACUCCUACGGGAGGCAGCAGUGGGGAAUAUUGCACAAUGGGCGCAAGCCUGAUGCAGCGACGCCGCGUGAGGGAUGACGGCCUUCGGGUUGUAAACCUCUUUCGCCAGGGACGAAGCGCAAGUGACGGUACCUGGAGAAGAAGGACCGGCCAACUACGUGCCAGCAGCCGCGGUAAUACGUAGGGUCCGAGCGUUGUCCGGAAUUACUGGGCGUAAAGAGCUCGUAGGUGGUUUGUCGCGUUGUUCGUGAAAACUCACAGCUUAACUGUGGGCGUGCGGGCGAUACGGGCAGACUGGAGUACUGCAGGGGAGACUGGAAUUCCUGGUGUAGCGGUGGAAUGCGCAGAUAUCAGGAGGAACACCGGUGGCGAAGGCGGGUCUCUGGGCAGUAACUGACGCUGAGGAGCGAAAGCGUGGGGAGCGAACAGGAUUAGAUACCCUGGUAGUCCACGCCGUAAACGGUGGGUACUAGGUGUGGGUUUCCUUCCUUGGGAUCCGUGCCGUAGCUAACGCAUUAAGUACCCCGCCUGGGGAGUACGG
rnacentral:rRNA from 1 species